AACGAACGCUGGCGGCAGGCUUAACACAUGCAAGUCGAACGCACCGCAAGGUGAGUGGCAGACGGGUGAGUAACACGUGGGGAUCUGCCCAAUGGUACGGAAUAGCUACGGGAAACUGGAAUUAAUACCGUAUGAGCCCGCAAGGGGAAAGAUUUAUCGCCAUUGGAGGAACCCGCGUAGGAUCAGCUAGUUGGUGUGGUAAAGGCGGACCAAGGCGACGAUCCGUAGCUGGUCUGAAGGGAUGAUCAGCCAAAAUGGGACUGAGACACGCCCCGGACUCCUACGGGAGGCAGCAGUGGGUAAUAUGGGACAAUGGGCGCAAUCCUGAUCCAGCCAUGCCGCGUGAGUGAUGAAGUCCUUAGGGUUGUAAAGCUCUGUGGCCGACGAAGAUAAUGACGGUAGUCGGAGAAGAAGCCCCGGCUAACUUCGUGCCAGCCGCCGCGGUAAGAC
rnacentral:rRNA from 1 species